AAAAAUUUACUAUCAACUUACAUUAUACCCCAAAACCUGGUUGUCACGUGUACAAGCCUCUAAAGUAUUACAAUCGGAUCAAAAGAAAAUAUAAGUCUCAUAUGAUAUUGUUUCUAGAGUAGAACAAAAUCAUAAACAAGAGUAAGGAGGGAUGUUGAGAUGACCAACAACUACCUCACAAAAUCUCCAGGAAGCCUCGGAAAAGAAGAGAAUAUAUCAUAAAAGUCCGGGCUAGUAACCUACAAAAAUUUGUAGAAGCAAGGGGUGAGUACCAAACCACACGGUACUCAGCAAGUAAACCUCUAAACACAAGCUAAGGGGAUGAAAUACGGGUACUCCUACAACCCCCAACCGAACCUCCCCAAGUACAACCUGCAUAAACAUCAACCCAACCUAACAACUCACAGUUUACAUAGAACGUAACUCAACAAAUUACAUAUCCUCCACAACAACACUUUAACAAAUUACAUAUCCUCCACAACAACACUUUAACAAAUUACAUAUCCUCCACAACAACACUUUAACAAAUUAUAUAUCCUCAACAUCAACACUUAAACAAAUUAGAUAUCCUCAAUAGCAACACUUCCAAAAAUUUACACAUCCUCAAUAACACACUUCAACAAAUUACAUAUCCUCAACAACAACACUUCAACAAAUUAUAUAUCCUCAAUAACAAGCUCAGUAUUCAACAAUCACAAGUUUCGCAAAAAGGCAAUCACUAGAUCAGCAAAACACAAUAUCAAGUUCACUAAUGAUAAGUAUGUGCAAUGUAAUGGAAUGCAAUGUCAAGUAUAAUGAUGCAUGUCUGACCUAGUGAUACACACCCGCUGUCUCUCAGUCCGGGACCCAUGGGGGACAUAUCUGUCCAUGCAUCUGUCGCGGCGCACGACACGACCCUCGAUAAUAGUAACCAUCGCGGCGCGCGAUACGUCCCUCGAAAUAUAGUAUCCAUCGCGGCGCGCGAUACGUCCCUCGAAAUAGUACAUCCUCUUUAAGUUAUCAUUCUUUCUCAAUGCACAUAACACUUUCACAACCAUGUCUCAGAAUAAUGCAAUGACAUGUUCACACAAAUAAUGAGGAGAUGACCAUUUUCAUAACAUUGCACAGUUCACAACCACACAAACAUGAAAUCACAUCAACAAUGAUUCAACAAGCCAUCAAACUUUUCUCAACACAUCACACAUAAAUAAUUAAUCACAUCGCUUUUUGUUAUCCCUUUUAUUUCAUCAUUAGAAUUAAUCAAUGUGGACAAGCCAACCCAUCACCAAUCCCGUUACUCCCAAACAUAUAUCACAAGGAAAUACACGCAUUCCAUACACUUAACAAGAGUUUAGAAAUCCACUUGCCUCAAUCAAUCAAGAAUUCAAUCUGAAACUUGAGCCUUUCUCUUUCGUUGAACUUUCAACUCAAAGUAAUCUAUUCAACUAAAUGACCUACAUAAGAUUUCAAGACUAAUUAACAACAAUCAAAUCUAUAAUCAAGUUCCUAAUCUUGAUGUCAAUUAGCAUAUCAAUUCUCAUAUUUCCAAAUUUCAAGUCUAGGGUUAAGUUUCAACUUCUCCAUUAUCAUAAAUUUAAUUGUUAUCAUAUAACUUUACCAUCAUAUUUAGUUACAUAAUAAUGUAUCAAGCUAUGAUUAUUUAAAAUAUAAUGAUUAUAAGGCAUAAAAAAAAAGAAAAAGAAAAUAAGUGACAAUAAUAAUAUGGUUCAUUAUGUUGAAAUGCUAGAAUUAACAAUGCCUUUAUCAUUAGGCAAUAAUUAGCCAAUGAUUAGGCUACUGUUUUGUCCCCCAGAAAUCGUUGCACAUUAACAAUUUCACCUUCUUUCUGUCAAUACAAUUCAUAUGCAAAAACUUAAAUUAAGCCGUAGGAUAGUAACGGAAUACGAGUAAUUCUUUACCUAAAAGUGAAGUUUGGACUCCCACGUUGAUCGCCUCUUAGCGCAGGUGAUUUAUGUUCUCCUCUUGAAUCUCUUCU
rnacentral:lncRNA from 1 species